UGGCCAAUAUCUUUAUUUAAGCAUAAUCUACUAAUCUCAACCUAACGUUACACGAGAGAACAUGAAUGAAACUGCUAUAAAUAGGAUAUAUAUAUAUAUAUACACAAUAACAUUAGGCUGUCAUUUAAACCCAUUGUUUUUCAUCUUCCAUCAAUUUGGUAAACUAUAGAAAAAGCAUCCUAUCAUUAGAAUAAAUAUUAAUUAUCAUUAACAUUAUUAAGAGGUGAGAACGGCUGCUAAAAUGUACACAUCCAUAACUCGCAUCACGCAGCUCCACUGUUUCACGAAUGUGUAGGAUUGAAAGAUGGGUGCAUUUGGGGCCGGGAUGGGGCAGAUCGUCCAAGGACCAUGUAUUUGGGUCAAAGUUCAGGAAAAAUAGGAAAAGCCGUUUUUGGAGAGUCUCUGGAAUACUUUCGAAACGGUGGCACAUACACGACUACCCAUCCCCUUUUUUUGGUUUUCAUUAGCUGUAACUUAAUUGUGAUCUCUCAGCUGGGGAUGCGUCACCUUCCUGUAUGAAUGACUCAAAGUACACCAGACGGUAGUAAUGCAUGUUGAGGCAGGCCAGAUGCCUCCAGCUAGGCUACCCAUGUGCUGCCGCCGGUGUCGCCGAGCUAAGACCUGCACACAAGGGGUUCACGGAAAGGGAGUGAACGAACGCACCUAGGCUGCUUGGCAACAUGGAAUAUUUAUCGUCGGCCCAUUAAGGUGCGCUAGAUCCGGGCUCAUUGGUUCAGGGAGAGUUCUUUCAAGAGUAGCCUGGACACCCACAUAAUUUGGAAAGACUGAGAUUUCCAUGUUGCCCUAUUGGUAGGCCCAUACAGUACGUCAUGGGCCCAAGAGCUUAACCCAGCAAUAGUUAUUCGGUAGGCCUAAAAUAUGGUAAAAGAACAACAACCACAUGACAAACUACAUGACAUCAUCCCCACUAUAAUGGAUGCUGAGAUGUGUGUUCUUUAUUGUAAUGAAUGACUAAAGGGAGAACUUUCAAGUUGAAAGACUUUUGAGUGCUGUGUUUUAAGACACACACACACACACACACACACACACACACACACACACACACACACACACACACACACACACACACACACACACACACACACACACACACACACACACACACACACAGUGUAUUGCAGGUUGUGGACUGGACAUCUCGCUGAAAGAGGAUGAUGACAGACCCGUUGUAUGCUUUAGUUACACAACUAAAUCAUGUUGUUGACCCUGUGUGCCAUUCUCAAAA